rnacentral:rRNA from 1 species
CAGUCGCCGCGGGAAUACCGAGGGUGCGAGCGUUAAUCGGAUUUACUGGGCGUAAAGCGUGCGUAGGCGGUGAGUUAAGUCUGCUGUGAAAUCCCCGGGCUCAACCUGGGAAUGGCAGUGGAUACUGGCUCGCUAGAGUGUGUCAGAGGAUGGUGGAAUUCCCGGUGUAGCGGUGAAAUGCGUAGAGAUCGGGAGGAACAUCAGUGGCGAAGGCGGCCAUCUGGGACAACACUGACGCUGAGGCACGAAAGCGUGGGGAGCAAACAGGAUUAGAUACCCCAGUAGUCCCUGUCUCUUAUAC